rnacentral:pre_miRNA from 2 species
UAUGGCUUUUUAUUCCUAUCUGAGAAUUGCUCAGGACUCAUAUAGGGAUGGAAGCCAUGCA